CCCAAAAAUGUAGCAAUAAAAACCUAUCUGUAAGGAAAAACCAUGUCCUAAAUCUGGGAAGGAUUAGGACAUUUAAAUUCAUGAUUUUGGCUUUGGAAACAUGGAGUUGCCAAUAAUGUAGUCUCAUUUCUCUCUCUCUUUUUUUUCUUUUGGCUAGGCAAUGGGGUUAAGUGACUUGCCCAAGGUCACACAGCUAGUAAGUUAUGUUUCUGAGGCCACAUUUGAACUCAGGUCCUCCUGACUCCAGGGCUGGUGCUCUAUCUACUGCGCCACCAGCUGCCCCUGUAGUCUCAUUUAUGUAAACUGAUUUGUGAUCAAGGUCUUCCAUUGCCCCCUGUGCUCUCCCCAUUUUCCUCUCAGUCUCUCAAUCCUUUUUCUUCUCCUAAGGAUUCUUAAGCAAGCUAGGUGGUGCAAUGGAUAGAGCGCUGGGCCUGGAAUCAGGAAGACUCAUCUUUCCGAGUUCAAAUCUAGCCUCAGACACGUACUAGCUGUGUGACCCUGGGCAAGUCACUUAACUCUCUUCACCUCAGUUUCUUCAUCUGUAAAAUGAGCUGAAGAGGAAAUGGCAAACCACUCCUGCACCUCUGCCAAGAAAACCCCAAAUAGGGUCACAAAGGUCAGGUCAUAUACAACUGAAAAAUGACUAAACAAUAACAAAAAAAGAUUCUUAAAAAUCUUCAUAAAAUUAGUUUGUCUGGAAGGAGUGAGCUGGCAUGGUACAGUGGAAAGACUAUAAGUUCUGGAGUCAGAGGACCUGGGUUCAAAUCCACCCUCUGAUGGUUAUUACCUAUGUAGUCAUGGGCAAAUGACUUACUCACUGUAUCUCUGUUUCUUAAUCUGAAAAACAGGAGUUGGAGAAGAUGGCUUCUGAAAUUCUUUCCAGCUCUAAGAUCUGUGAAGCUGUGACAAAGUCUAAAGGAGACGGCAGACAGGAGGAAGCCCGUGAACACUGGACCAAUCAGGCCUGAAUGCAUGAAUCAAUCUUGGUGUUCCUAGGAGAGGGAGGACCACCAAAAUACAGCUCAGGGAUCCAGUUAGGAUAUCCUGGCCCCAACUGGGACAGAAUGUUUCAGGUGAAACUCAAACCUCUGGCUGGUUCCUCUGCCCUGGAUGAAGUAGCCGUAAGGUCUCCUGGGUUGUCAUAUCUGAGCAUUCCUGACAGCUGAACAGAGUGUCUUGAGAAACUCAGCGCCGACAAGAUAUUUGACUCAAAUCAAAUCCUACUUCCUCCACGAAGUCCAUCUAUCUUACUCCUCCUACCCCACCGUCGAAGUCAAUUAGACUUUGAAGCUUUUCGAAAGUAGGGGUUAUGUCUUAAUAUUAUCUUUGUAUGCUUCAUACAUAUGGUACAGCACAGAGCACACAGCAGAUAAUUUGUGAAAAGAAUUGCCCUUUUGUUAACUGUUUCGCUGCUGAGAGAGAAAAGGAAUAUUUGUGGAAGGAAACUUGACAAAAUCCACUUGUGAGAGACAUAGACAGUCUUGACUACUGGGUAGGGAACAGCACCUCUGAUGGAUGUACUGAGAGGACCUGUUUGGAGACAGUGACCGAGCUGUUGAUAACUGCAGGACAUUUCAGUCCAUCUGUUCAUUUGCAUGGGACUUUUUUUUUUAAGCUUCCAAGUUUACAACUCAUAUAAUUAUUAGUCAAAUAAUUGUUUUGGGGCCAUGGAAAGAUUACAUAAGGACUGUGGCAUUCAUUCCUGACAGAAAGAUGAAUUUCUUGAAUUGUGCCUCAUAAGGUAAAGAUCCUCCCCUCCACCUCACCACCCCACAGGCUCUGAUUUGAAGCUGGUUAAACAACCAACAGGAGAGGGAGCUUCUUCAAAAGACUGGAAGAGUAGUUGGGAGGCCAGCAGAAGGAGAAGUUUUGAGAAAAAGUUAUAGGAUUAAACAGAUGGAAUAAGGAACUCAGCUGUGCAGAAGAGGAAUCACAGGAGGCUAUUAGCAACUAGCAGACCCUUUAGCUCAAGGUUUUUAACCUCAGGUCUGAGGUGUUUUUUUUUAAAUCACAUUUCAAUAACUGUAUUUCAAACUAAUUUUCUUUGUAUCCUUUUAUUUUAUUUUAUGAAUUUAAAAAUGUUAUGAAGAGGGGUUCAUAGGUUUCACCACACUAUUAAAGGGGUCCAGAGAACAAAAAGUUGAGAAUCCAUGGUUUAUCAGCUAUGCUGGGAACCUUGUGAUUGGAAAAGAGUCAUGGCUUUGCUGAUUGGCUGGAGCAGCUGCUGAAAGCUCAUUGGUUAAGAGUUGAAUCCUACUGCUUAUUUGGGGAGCUAUCGAGCUGAUUGCUCUCUGGGGCCAUCUCCAGCACGAAAAAUGGGAAACUUCUUGGCAGUUGCCUCUGUUGCCCUCAGGGAGGGAAAACAACCAGGUGAGAAAGAGUCUUUGCAUAGUUUUGCUAAGAUCUGAGUUUUAAAAAGAGGCUGAGGGAGGCCUUGGAGUCAGGAGGAAAUGAGUUCAAAUUCGGCCUCAGACACAUAAAACUUACUAGCUGUGUGAUCCUGGGCAAGUCACUUAACCCCAUUGCCUAACCAAAUAAAUAAAUAAAUAAAUAAAAAUAAGAGGAUGAG
ensembl:lncRNA